GCAGUGAUGGCACUUCAUACAAAGUACGCGUUAGACUGCUGAUCCCGGUGAUGCGAACCGAAGUCUGAGC